CCCUAGCCCUGAUUGGAGCAUUUGUUUGAGCUCAUUUUUUAAUGUUUCGGCUGCGGCGGCUUCGCCGCCGCAGCCGAAACAUUAAAAAUAGCGAGUGCGGAAAGCAGGAAAAAGC
rnacentral:misc_RNA from 1 species